UACGUAGGGAGCAAGCGUUGUCCGGAAUCAUUGGGCGUAAAGCGCGCGUAGGUGGCUUCGUAAGUCCGUUGUGAAAGUCAAAGGCUCAACCUUUGAAAGCCGAUGGAUAUUGUGAAGCUAGAGUACGGAAGAGGCGAGUGGAAUUCCUGGUGUAGCGGUGGAAUGCGCAGAUAUCAGGAAGAACACCCGUGGCGAAGGCGGCUCUCUGGGACGGUACUGACGCUGAGACGCGAAAGCGUGGGGAGCGAACAGG
rnacentral:rRNA from 1 species